rnacentral:rRNA from 1 species
AUUGAACGCUGGCGGCAGGCCUAACACAUGCAAGUCGAGCGAGCGGCGGACGGGUGAGUAAUGUAUGGGGACUGCACGAUAGAGGGGGAUAACUACUGGAAACGGUAGCUAAUACCGCAUACUAUCGGAUAACCCAUAUGGGAUUAGAUAGUAGGUGAGGUAAUGGCUCACCUAGGCGACGAUCCCUAGCUGGUCUGAGAGGAUGAUAAGCCCCAAUGUGACGCAGACAAGGCCCAGACUCAGACGGAGGCAGCAGUGUGGAAUAUUGCACAAUGGGCGCAAGCCUGAUGCAGCCAGUCCGCUUGUAUGAAGAAGGCCCUAGGUUUGUAAAGUACUUUCAGUCGGGAGGCGUUACCGACAGAAGAAGCACCGGCUAACUCCGUGCCAGCAGCCGCGGUAAUAC